GGAGGGGUGGCAGAGCGGUUUAAUGCACCGGUCUUGAAAACCGGCGUAGGUUAGUAGCCUACCGAGAGUUCGAAUCUCUCCUCCUCCGCCA
rnacentral:tRNA from 4 species